GACCGCUCCGGUGGCCUAAUGGUUAAAGCAUCCGCCUCGUAUGCGGGUUGUCGUGGGUUCGAUCCACCGGCUGAGUCA